rnacentral:rRNA from 1 species
UACGAAGGGGGCUAGCGUUGCUCGGAAUCACUGGGCGUAAAGGGUGCGUAGGCGGGUCUUUUAAGUCAGGGGUGAAAUCCUGGAGCUCAACUCCAGAACUGCCUUUGAUACUGAAGAUCUUGAGUUCGGGAGAGGUGAGUGGAACUGCGAGUGUAGAGGUGAAAUUCGUAGAUAUUCGCAAGAACACCAGUGGCGAAGGCGGCUCACUGGCCCGAUACUGAUGCUGAGGCACGAAAGCGUGGGUAGCAAACAGG